GACGAACGCUGGCGGCGUGCCUAAUACAUGCAAGUUGAGCGCUGAAGGUUGGUACUUGUACCAACUGGAUGAGCAGCGAACGGGUGAGUAACGCGUGGGGAAUCUGCCUUUGAGCGGGGGACAACAUUUGGAAACGAAUGCUAAUACCGCAUAAAAACUUUAAACACAAGUUUUAAGUUUGAAAGAUGCAAUUGCAUCACUCAAAGAUGAUCCCGCGUUGUAUUAGUUAGUUGGUGAGGUAAAGGCCCACAAAGGGGAUGAUACAUAGCCGACCUGAGAGGGUGACCGGCCACAUUGGGACUGGGACACGGCCCAAACUCCUACGGGAGGCAGCAGUAGGGAAUCUUCGGCAAUGGACGAAAGUCUGACCGAGCAACGCCGCGUGAGUGAAGAAGGUUUUCGGAUCGUAAAACUCUGUUGGUAGAGAAGAACGUUGGUGAGAGUGGAAAGCUCAUCAAGUGACGGUAACUACCCAGAAAGGGACGGCUAACUACGUG
rnacentral:rRNA from 1 species